GACUGCGGAGCAUCGAGCACCAGCACACCUCACCUGGACACAUUGACACGAGUAGUGCCUUCAAUAAAUUCACCCUCCGAGGCCUUUAUUGAAUUCCCCUUGUUGUGUGAUUCUUCACCCCAUUAUACUGGUGGAGAAUGCAGGCAUAAUUUAUGAAGAAUUACAGACAAGCAAAACCCCACAGCAUUGAGUUUGCCCCAGUCUACGACUGUCCCUUACCAUUGUUGAUUUUCCCCCUCUCUUUUUUUUUUUGUUUCUUGCAGGCGGCUGCUCCUCCUCAGCCAGGGAGGAUCUAGUAAAGCAUCUCACCGAGGUGGAACAUUUUGGCUUCUCUCUGGGCAUCCCACCGCUUCCCAGGUGGUGGAGCAAGUAAUAAUAGAUCACCUGCUACGAGAGCCGUUCCUCGUCCACUUCGGCUGGCAGCAGGCAUGCGGAACCCACACACCAUCACCGAUCUUGUGGAGGCCAUCAAGUUUGCAGAGGCGGCCCAACACCGUGAGGCUGGGGAGCGAGCACCGGCUUUUCCCCGGAGUGUGAACUAAGAGUGACGCACGCCAGAGGGCAUCCCGCAACCAGUAAGCAGGCUGGUGGUUCCCGGCCCACAGGAUGAGCCCAUGCCCACGGAACCUCCUCACUUACCAAAUUGGGCCUGGCUGGCAGGCUGCGUCGUCCACCAUGCACCACCGAUGGGGGUGCCGCGGAUGAAAGUAAAAGUUAAUGGACGAUCCUUCUCAGCCCUGCUGGAUUCAGGCAGCGCCAUCAGCCUGGUGCAGCUAAUCGUGUUGCCCCUCUGAGUGGAGACCCGGGCCCUCUUGCCCAUCACCUGUGUACAUGGAGACACACGACAGGUUCCCGCGCAUUGUGUCACCAUCUCGGCCACCCCUAUCAAAGUGGGAGCUGAGAGGGACCUCCCUGUCCCCGUGCUCCUCGGGAGAGACUGGCUGGGGUUCAACCAGCUGCUCGCUGCCACCGCCGAAACCAGAAGUCAACCUGAGGGCCUCAGCGGUACCUCGCCUUGCUACCCUCGGACAGCACCAGAGAUGGUGAGCCCCCCCCCCCCAAAAAAAACAUUACUACCUUUUACUUUGAUGUGUUUCGACAGGUGUCGGGGGUGAGAGGGGGUGUUUGCAAAGGAACAACACAGGGACAAAUGGUUAAACCAUUGCUGGUCACAGGUCAGAGUGUUCAGCGGGAAGGAAAACCAGCCGUCACCUCAUCUCACCUCAUCUCAACCUUUACUUUCAGUUUCCACUUAAGACUCUGUUCAUUGUUGUAGUUCUAUGGAAGCUAUGAUCUGAUUGGUCAUCUUUGCUCUGGUGGGCAUGGCUGCAGAUGACUUCAGAUCUGGAAGAGCUCAGUAAAACAGAACAGAAAGAGACAGCAUGUAUUAAAAACAACAUGUGUUACAUUUGAUACCAAGGCACACAAUAUCUUUCAGAAUCAGCUGUUUUGGGUUAAUUCGUGUUUGUAUCUGGUUUUGAAUAUCUCUUGUGAAUGUGAUCAGCAACCUUGUGGGCUACAACAAUGUUUAUUUUUCUUCAUUUGCAAUAUUUUUUAAAAAAUACAGUGUUAUCUAAAAUUAAGUAUAGAAAGAAGCAGAACAACAACAACAAAAAGGAUCUGAACAAUUAUUUUGUUUAUACAUAGACAUAAGAGAUAUAAUCACUGAUCGCUGUGAGCCUCAUCUAGCUCCUCCUGUAAAUGACAGCAGCUGAGCAGUGAAGGGAGAUCAAAGCUUUAAGGAUCUCUGAAUCAACUGAACCCUUUUUGAAGUGGUCAAACAUGAUGAAAUCUUUGAGAAAACAAUAUCAAUUAUUUUCGUGAAAGUGUAUCUUUUAAAUGUGAUCUACUAUCCUAAUUCAGUACAAUUAAAUAUGAAAAACUUCUGUAAAACUGUGCAUUAUUUUUAGUGUUUACAUGUAUUUGUGACCAGUGUUGGGGAAAUUUACUUUUAAAAGUAAUUGCGUUACAUUUUGUCAGCUGUGCUGGGCUUGCUUGUCUUUUUAAUAACAAAAAGAGAGAGUGUUAGACGUACAGUUUAUGAUGCUGAGAUGGAAAAUAUGUUAAUGUCAUUUAAGAAGAAAAUAAAGAAUGCAUUAAAUAUUGACAUUAAACUUUGACAUUGCAUGAAACUGUGAACUUGCACAAGUCAGAACUUCUGUUAUUGAGGUCAGUAAAUGUGUGUCUAAACUGUGAGAAUGUGGUUUAAAGUGCUGCAAUGAUCUUCAGCUGAAGCACACAGUGUUAGAUGAUGUUUCUGUGUGUUCAUGUUCAUGAAAGUGUGAGAUCUUCUGCAGUUUUUUCUUACAACCACAAAGUAACUUUCUGAAAACCUGUUUGACUGAAAAAUACCUUUGAUAAAUAUCAGAAAUGAGAGUUUUCAGAUCCAGAAUGAUGUUUUCUUUCCUCCGAACUCUAAUCCUGAUUCUCCUGUGUGAUGUGUUUGGUUCAGAUGAUGUGAAGUCAGUGUCAGUGUUGGAGGGAGAUUCUGUCUCUCUGAACACUGAUGUUACUGAAGUACAGAGUGAGCAGAAAAUUAUGUGGACGUUUGGACCUCAAAGGACUCAAAUAGCUAGAAUAUAUAAGCAGAACAUUGAUACAGAUGCCACUAAUACAAUAUUAGAAAACAGACUCCAGAUGGACAAUCAAACUGGAUCUCUGACCGUCAGAAACAUCAGAUCUGAACACUCUGGACUUUAUGAACUACAGAUCUAUAUCUACAGAGAAAUGUCAGUCAA